UCCUACUCGCAACAUCGAUCGAUCAACACAAACAUUUCGCGAAUAUAAUAAAAUCCCGUACGGAAUAAGUAUACGUACACGAAUACCAUCAAAAUCUCGUUACGGAUACGUUAACAAACAAUUAUGCCUAUGAAAAAAAAAAUAACUCAAAAAGAGGUGAUAGAUCAAAUCCUUAGUCCCGAAAAAAACCAGCCCCGUUUUUUUUUUUCUCGUCUGGUUUCUCAAGAAACUAAAGGAUUAUUUCAAUGUGUAGAUUUUU
rnacentral:lncRNA from 1 species